rnacentral:rRNA from 1 species
UACGUAGGGUGCAAGCGUUAAUCGGAAUUACUGGGCGUAAAGCGUGCGCAGGCGGUGAUGUAAGACAGUUGUGAAAUCCCCGGGCUCAACCUGGGAACUGCAUCUGUGACUGCAUCGCUGGAGUGCGGCAGAGGGGGAUGGAAUUCCGCGUGUAGCAGUGAAAUGCGUAGAUAUGCGGAGGAACACCGAUGGCGAAGGCAAUCCCCUGGGCCUGCACUGACGCUCAUGCACGAAAGCGU